UCGCGCAUCACCGUCGCGCAGCGUCGUGCACUCUUCCAUCCUUCAUUCUCGAGCUUUCUUGUUCUUUCGCACCGCGUUUCACAGGUCGUUAGAUACCACGGAUCUCUUGAGAAAAUUACAGAAACCCACGUGGCAAGAAAAGUGGAUAUUUGGAAAAGGUUGAGCAGCUGACAGUCAACUGUGUAUUCGAAAUAUACAACAUACGUUUUAGAAAAUGACACGUAAAAGAAAAAGUAACGACUGCUAUUCAGAUAGACAUAAACGUCGACUCGUUGAACAACAAACUAAAUUAAGUAUUAUUAGAAUGAAGCACGUUAAGCACGUAUAGUACGAAAUGUAAAGUCGUGAACCAAACGCUUUUUUUAAAAUAUACAUGAAAAUAAGUAUAGUUUUUUCUCGAUUUAAACUUAUUAUUAUAAUAUUAUAAUAAUUAAAUUAUUUUUAAAUCAAUAAUACAUAUGAAAAUAUAGGUUAUAAUAAUUAAGCUGAUACAGGGCAGUCUUUUGCUAUACACCAUAUUUACUAGUAUAGUAGUAACUAUACGUAGUAACAUGUACUACGUGUAUUACGUAACAUUUCUUCGUAAAUAUUGUGCAGAGCAAAAGACUGCCCUAUAUCAGCUUAAUUAUUAUAGCCUAUAUUUUCAUAUGCAUUAUUGUUUCCAAAAUAAUAUAAACAUAAUAAUAUAAUAAUAAGUUUAUAUUGAGAAAAAGACUAUACUUACUUUCACGUAUAUUUCGAAAGAAGCCUUUGGUUCACGACUUUACAUUUCGUACUACGCACUAGUAUAGUAUGUGUAGUAGGGUGGGCCAAAAAAAGUGAGUAUUUUUUUUUACUUUAUACUCUGAAA
rnacentral:lncRNA from 1 species